ACCUUUUCCCCAAAAUAGUAUAUGUGUGAUUCAUUUCUAUUUUUGUUCAUACUUGUAGGUUUUUUUUUUUUUUAAAGAAAGCUCUAGGCCCAACGUGGAGCUUGAACCCGUGACCCCAAGAUCAAAAGUUGCUUGCUCUUCCCACUGAGCCAGCCAGGCACCCCGAUAUACUUGUACUUAUUAAUGAAGAGACACUCUACAAUGGAGAAAACUGACAGACUCUACAAUGGAGAAAACUGACAGACACCAGACAGGGUUGUGGAGCUCAAAGGCCAAGAAAGAAUUCUUGAGACAUUGUACAGUGUAACUUGGGUCCUUGGAGAAAGGAGGAGACUCCGACAAGGAGAUCACAGGUCACACGGGGUCAGUACUUGUUUAUUUCAUUUCUGUUGGCUGAGGAAGCACACACAUUUUUUUUUAAAUAUUUUAUUUAUUUAUUUGAGAGAGACAGAGAUAGUGAGAGAGAAC
rnacentral:lncRNA from 1 species